rnacentral:rRNA from 1 species
GACGAACGCUGGCGGCGUGCCUAAUACAUGCAAGUUGAGCGCUGAAGGUUGGUACUUGUACCAACUGGAUGAGCAGCGAACGGGUGAGUAACGCGUGGGGAAUCUGCCUUUGAGCGGGGGACAACAUUUGGAAACGAAUGCUAAUACCGCAUAAAAACUUUAAACACAAGUUUUAAGUUUGAAAGAUGCAAUUGCAUCACUCAAAGAUGAUCCCGCGUUGCAUUAGCUAGUUGGUGAGGUAAAGGCUCACCAAGGCGAUGAUACAUAGCCGACCUGAGAGGGUGAUCGGCCACAUUGGGGAUGAGACACGGCCCAAACUCCUACGGGAGGCAGCAGUAGGGAAUCUUCGGCAAUGGACGAAAGUCUGACCGAGCAACGCCGCGUGAGUGAAGAAGGUUUUCGGAUCGUAAAACUCUGUUGGUAGAGAAGAACGUUGGUGAGAGUGGAAAGCUCAUCAAGUGACGGUAACUACCCAGAAAAGGACGGCUAACUACGUG